ensembl:lincRNA
AAUAUCCAAAAGUUUAGUUUAAUGAGGAAUUAAAACUCGGGACUAUUAUCUAACAUCGUACCAAGCAUUAUCGAAAGCGAGGUGGACGCCAUACUUCAGACGGUGUAUAAACCUUGUGUGUUAUCAGCGCUGGUGUACUGCUCUUGUGCCAAAGUUCUCGUCGAGGUGUUUAUCUUUCCUUUAAUGGAUUGAAAUAAAGGUUGAGAAUGUCAAUACGGUUAUUUCUGAUUGACUUGGCUCAUUGCUUUAAUAUAUGUGGAAGUCGACUUGUUCAAGCAGAAGAGUUCAUCAGUCAGUCAGGUUCCAUCGUCGCCGACGAUGGAUAUGACAAAAGAAACCAAGAAAGGGAGGCUGGGAGCACGAGUGCACAAGCAGAGAAUGGCUGCUAAAUUCCCAAUGGUCUCUGAGGUUCAUUUGACACCUGGGUGUAUGGAUUCUCCAACUGUGUGCUGCUAUUGUGGUGAAGAACCACCUGUGGUGAACUGUUUAUCCUGCUUCUGCCUGUGGUGUGAACCAUGCUUUCAAAAGGUUCACAGCCUGUCGGAUAUUUUGAUGAAACAUGACAAAGUCCAUCUGCCAACGAGCAGAAAUCAAAACAAAAUCUCCAUCUUGAACAAUGAAGAUGCUUCGGUGCCUGACUCUCAGAAUCGAAAACUCGACAAAUUUUUGGAGGACAAGAAAGUCGUCAUUGAUUUGCUGAAUGAAGCCAUUUCUAUUGCAAAAGUUGGAUAUAACAAGCUUGCAUUUCAUUAUCAGAAUCUGGGAAAAGUAAAAGCUGAUCUGGAGAGGAGUCUUGUAAAAGCGAGGGAGGACGUGACACGAUGCAUGAAGAUGCUUGAUUCUGCACUACAGGCUAGAAAGAAAGAGUUGAAGGACCUUUUGGAAGCAGAAGGUUUGAAAAGGGCUUCAUCACUGGACCUUGAGAGGGAUGAAACCAAGAAAGUUCUAUUUGAUCGUGAGCAAGCUCUGUCCAAGGCCUUCGAGUUGGUGGAUCUGAUUGACAAAAGUGACGAUUCAAUUGGAGCUGAUGCAGUUGAGGUUUUGCGCUGCUUACAGGGCCUUAAUUUUUUGAAUAUCUGCAGCAAUGAAAUGAAGACUUCUGAAAUAAAAUGUUUUUUGGACACAAAAAGCCUUCUUGAAUGCAUCAAGAAAUUUGGUGCAGUUGAGUCACUUAGUUUUGAUGGGUUAAGCAUUUUGGGUGGUGUUGUGGAGGUAGGUUCUCUAUCUCCAUUGGACACCAAGGUCACCAAACCAAACUGCUUGGCCAUUGAGGAGGACCACACUUCACGGAGUGGAAUGCUGGAUGAAGGUCUGGAGAAGGGGGGUGCCCAAUCUUCCUCGGACACAGAUGUCCCCAAACCGAACUGGUUGGCCAUUGAGGGGGAUCACACUUCAGAGAGUAGAAUGCUGGAUGAAGGUCUGGAGAAGGGAGAUGCCCAAGUUUCUUUGGACACAGAUGUCCUCAAAACAAACUGCUUGGCCAUUGAGGAGGAUCACACUUCACAGAGUAGAAUGCUGGAUGAAGGUCUGGAGGAGGGAGACGUGCAAGCUUCCUCGGACACAGAGGUCCCCGAACCAAACUGGUUGGCCAUUGAGGUUGACCCCACUUUACAGAGUGGGUUCCAUGAGUUCUACUGUGAACAGAAUUAGUAGAAAUGAAAAAUGUUAGCUUUCUGGGCUUUUUAUUUAUAUGUGAAUAAGGAAAAGAAUUGCAGAGGAAUGUUUUCUUUUUUAUUUUGUAAGGAGAACAUGUGUAUUGCAGCCUUCCAUAGGUAGAAUUUUCUUACCAAUCUUGGUGUUUUAAAGGCAACCACAACCACCAAGUGUGUUCUCUUUGCAUCACUUUGGUCUGAGAUGUUCCCUUUGGAUCACAUGUGUACAGCAAGUGGUGUGUGUGUAUAUUAUUGCCCUCCUCAAGCUCAUUAGUGAGUCAGCCAGGUU